CAUUUAGCAGCAUGUUCGAUUGUGCGUCAAGAAUUCAGCAUAGCAAGUUUGUAUGAAGGUCUAGUUAUUAAUUAGUAUAGUUCAAUAGUAAUAUCCUCGAAAACGCUCUGGUGACAAACAAACUUUGCUGCCCUGUUUCCAAUUGUCCACAUGGCUGGACAAUUCAAGUAAGUAAAUAUAUUUCGAAAAUAAAAAACCGAUGUAUUAUUAGCUACUAACUACAGUGCAGGCUAAUUUAAAUGAGCUAUCUAGAUGAGCUAACUUCACAUACUGUAUAGAUAGCUAACUAAGGGAAUGAAAUAUCACCAUCUACCUAACUUCAUAUUAGUUAGCUAUCUUGAUGCAUUUAUCACUGUAAAAAAACUAACUCCAAAUUAAUUUGUAGGUAGGUAGCUAGCUAACAGCCAUGGAGGUGAUAGGAUAGCUGCCCCAACUGUGAGUAGGCUAUUCUGGAUAGGGCAGGUACUUUUGUGUAGUUCCUGUCUCUAGAAGUGAGGAUGGAGAUAAUAGCAACAUAAUAUUCAGUGCGGUGUAAUUUGACUAUUAUGAAGUCUGUUUCUUGUGAGGUUUUCUGUCCUCAGAUAAAGAGGGCUAUGAAAGCCUGUCUACAUAUGAAGUGCAGUGGUUCUCAGUCCUGGUCCUGGGGACUCAAAGGGGUGCACAUUUUGGUUUUUGCCUUAACACUGAGCAGUUGAUUCAAAUAAUCAACUUAUCAUCAAGCUUCAAGUGGUAUUUAUGUAUUCAUUUGUGAUGCUAUCCUUUAUAUUGUCCUGUUAUUGUCACAUGCACAUGUGUGUCCAUGCAUCUAUCAAUCCAAUCUUAUAAUAAUUUAUCAGGGAUAUUAUACUUUUGUAAUCCACAAUGACCUGGUGAUGUAAAAGUCUAAUAAUUACAUUGUCUUCCAUAUUCCUACUUGUAACUGGAGAUUCCUUCAAAAUGAGUGCCUACAGUUAAAGUGUAGGGCAAUGCAAGGUUGGGUGACCAGGAGGGCCAUCUGGGACUGCCUCCUGGAGGAAUUCAGGUGUGUGUGAAGGCUACCUGUGUCCUGCAUAACUUCAUAAGGAUGGACACGAGGACCGGGAGGGGAUCUGCAGCUCGCUGCCGUCUGCCAGAGAAGAAGUCUGCUGCUCUGCAGGAUGUUUCAAGGAUGGGGUCCAACAAUGGAGCAAGAGGCAAUCCAUUUGCGGGAGAUCUUCACCUCCUACUUCUUCAAAGAGGGUGCUGUUCCCUGGCAAUACCAUAGACGACACGAUGCACAACCAAAGGCUCUUUUAAGAGUCAUUCACAUUGCAAUAAGAAUAUUCUUCCAUGUCAACUGCAGUUAUUCAAUUCCCAUUUUCUCUCCCUUUGAUUUCUACUUCUCAGGUGAGGGUGCUGUUAUUAAGGUAAGUGUGUGAUGUCUGUACAAAAACAAAACAGGCUAUUUUAAAUCACCCAUAUUGAAAAAAUGUAUAACAAUUAGACACCUUAUAACACACACACUCAUGUAUCAAUCUGAUUAAUGGAUUGUGUUGUGCAGUAAGCAGGCUCAGGUGUAUAACUGUGGCUCCUUCCACCUUCAAAGAAUAGGCAAGAGGGCCAACCAUGGAGAAUAGUAAGAGACUUCAUUAUUUCUAUAACUACGCUAUAUUGUUUGUCCACGUGUGUCUGUUUAUGUUUUUCAGCAUAAAGUACUCUGCAGCCACUUAGUGUGGUGUGGACACCAGGUUAUAUCAGCUGUGUCUGUGAACCUCUCCCUCAUCUGAACUGGCUACAUGGAGGGCACAGCAUGAUCAGAGAUGAAAGGUCACUUGGUCAGGUCAACAGGAAGUAUUAUUAAAGAGAUGCUUUACAUUGAAAUACAGAUAGAGAUGCAGUAGUCCCAGAGUUAAUGAUCCAAGGUCAGUUUUGCAUUUCACCUGCUGAUUAGUAUAAUGAAUAACAAGGUUAGAAUAAAACAUUUAAACACAAGGCUUAAACAUGCAUCUGUCUCUAGUCUGCAGAUAUGUUUUGACGUGAGAGAGGAUGCCAACCCCCAGUCACACCAUUGCCACCUCACCCGCUUUUAAGAUAACCUUCGGACUGACUAGUUUCACUAUUAUGUAAUUGUGAUGAACUGAGAGAAUAUUUGGGUUGCACUGUGAUUCAUUAAUCAUAUGCUGCCUUCCCUGCCCUUAUGUCUUAACUCUUUCCCUUUCUGUCUUUUACACCUCUCGCCACCUCUUUCUUCCUGUUUUUAUAAUGUACAACAGAUGUGCAUUGAAGUACAGAUUGAACUUGUAUUUAUAAUAUGACAAUUAUAUUUAUAAUGCAUGUAUUUAUAACACUUGGAUAAUGAAAUUCUUUCAAUAAAGUGUUUCACAUUCUCUA